rnacentral:lncRNA from 1 species
UUCAUGUACUUGCCAACAUUCUGAGUUUGUAAAACUACCUUCAUUUCUUUGUCACUGCAUGCUUACAUUAAUAAUAAUAAGAUAUUGACAUGUUCCAUAAAACAAAACAAAAACCUCUACUGUCUAUUUCUAUGAAUUCAACUUUUUUAGAUUCCACAUAUAAGAGAGGUCACGUGGUAUUCUUCUUUCUCCACUGCACUUUUAGGUUCAAUUCUUCCAGAAAAGUUCUCAUGACUAGACAGGGUAGGAGGAAUAACAAGUUUUAUGGACAAGGACCCUGAGGCCAGAAUGGGUGAGGCAUGGAGUAACACCACCGGCUCAGGCCUGCCCUUCACACCCACAAAGCUGACCAGAAGUGUACAGCUAUGGAGGAAUACACUGAAUUUCAUCAGAUUCUAUCUAAUGCCCUCUUUCUACUUUGAACUGGAAAAUAUCCCUGGGAACACAAAUUAAUUCUGCCUGAAGUAACUACCUGGGUGUGAUUGCUUACUCACUGCCCCCUUCUGGAGAAAAAAAGUGCCCACCCCAUCCACCAGUUCUUAGUCUUUCCAUGCAAUUGAUUUGUGCUAAUCCUGCAAUGAAUUUGCAGAUUGGCAGCCUCGUCCUCCAUGGUCCAGGAUUCCACCUUCAACUCUGUCACCAUCUGGCCAAAUUGUGUGGAAGUGGGGGGCUGGGGAGGGGCAGCAGCAGGCAGUGGGCCCUUUGCAUAAACGAUCGUGCUGGGCCUUAACUUGCAGAGGGCUGGGGCAUCCCUGCCAUGUGUGCAAGCACACAGGUCAGUGGGGCAGGUCAAAGGAGAGGGUGCAAGAACCCGAGAACAAAGACCUGUCCCUCACGGCUGGCCAUUGUCUCCAGUAGAAGCCAUCCAUCACACAGCUUCCCUCAGCAGCUGGAUGGGCCAGCUGGCUCCUCUGGGAUCUUUUCUUUCUCUUGCCCGCCCCCAGAAGCACUUGAUGGCUGUCUUUUCAAAGCUAUUUCCUCUUAAGACCCUGAUGCACAACAUUUUGAAUGCUGAGAGGCCAGCCCUUAUGCACGACAUCUUGGACGAUUUUGAAGUUUUUUUUCCUUGUGGUGCAUGGGGGAAUACAAACCAAGAAUCAUCUUGGAUGAUCACUCAGAACCUGUUCACAACAAAAUGAGGAGGCCUUGAAGUCAGGUUUUUAUCACGAAGACCUGCGAUGCUUGGGAAUUUUCCCCUUGUCAUGAUUAAGUAGGAAGAGAAAACAGCAGGCAUCAGGCUGCCUGUUUGCCUGUUGCUUGCAUGAUUUGCGUGGUCCUGUCUUUUUUUUUUUUUUUUUUCGCAUUGCUGAUGUGAUAAUAUAAGCACUGGACUCCCAGUGAAUCUGAAGGCAAAUUAUUUCAAGAACACAUCACCUGGCCCUUGUUAAAAUGUUAUUGGGGAACUUUUCCCAGAGCCCUGAGCAAAAUCUGGUUAUGAUUCAGUCAUGAGGGAAACUCACUGCAUGUGCGUUGCAAGGUAACCGAUUAGAUUUAGUGAUUCAAAUGGGCAGUUAACUUAGAUUUAAUGGGACUGUAAUUGUACAGCGAAUUUUAAAUAUACUUUUGAUUAUUGCAUCAGGGCUAUAUUGAAAUACAUACUUGUCAUUUUGUAUUGACAUUUUAAAAACAAUUACAUAAAAUCUAAUGAGAAGGAACCCAGUAAGAAAACCCAAUUACCUUUCAAGGAUGCCAGGUUUUCCAUUUCCGCUCUGUAGUUUUCACUGACCUUGGCAUUUUUUUUUCCCCCGAUUGUGAUAGAAAGAUAAUGAAUUUGGUUGGUAUAAUUAGUUUUUAUUCUCAUCAUAGUGUUUUUCUAAUAAACACCCCAAAUUAUCCAGUCGACAACAUUCUUCUUCAGGUUAUUUCCUACACGCUAGCUUUGUUUUUCCCUCAUUCCCUCCAGGCUGGUGAAAACAUGAAACAAAUAACCACGGUUCCCUGGAGUAAAUGUGUUCUUUAGUUUAAUUCAACAAACAAUUUGACUGCCUACAACAUGCCAGGCUAUAGCUUAGGUGUUAAGAUAUAAAAAUAAAUUCAAACAUUUUCUUUGUUGUCAAGAAAUGCUUCUUUUUGUCCUUCUCCUUCUCUUCCUCUUUCAUCAUCAUUGUAGUUACUACCCACCUCAGCAUGUAUUGAAAAUUUACUCUAUAAGAGCCACUCUGUUCAUUUUUUUACCUCAUGUCUCAUCUCAAUUAUAUCUCCUAACAAUCCUGUGAUUGGGUGCCAUUAUUCCCUCCAGCAGAUGAAGAAAUUAAGACUUCAGAGAAGUUGAAUAACUCACAUUACUCUGUUUUUCUCAACAUUUGGGACGACUUUCCAGGACCUAUUGAAUAGGAUGAAACUCUUAGGGUGCUUUGCCAUGGAGCCUCAGUUACCUUUCCAAGCUUCAGCUCCACUUCUCUGCACAGUGAGUUAACCUAGUAUGUGGAGCUACUCAACAUUCUCUUCCACCCAGCCUCCAGGCCCUUGUGCACGUGACUCCUUUGUCAGCGAUGCCAGCAAUGCCUUUUCCUUCCCUUCUCCACCUGUCAAAACUCCUCCCACUCUUCAAAGUGGCUCCAAAGCCCCAUCUACCUGAAGUGCCCUCUGACCCUCUAAGAAUCAAAUAUCCCUUUCCAUGGUUGUACUCCUCUUGCUGUUUGUAGCACAUUCUGUCUUGUUCACUGUUAUCUUUUCACCCCCAAUAUCCUCAAGGACUCUGCGCAUUCCUCAAAUGGACUUUUCCCAUCUUAUUAUCUCCAUGAAACUUAAUGCAAUGUUUUAUGAGCUCUAAGAAAAUACCUGUAGAAUUGAAUAGUUAUUUAGCUGCAGGAUAUUCCUGAUGCAAUUUAAGAUGCUAUAUGUUAGGGGAAAAUGUGUUCUGUAAUUCCAAGCUAUAGUUUCUGAGAUUCUCCAUUCAAGGGUUCUUUAUCAGACAAGUGUCACUUAAGGAGGUGUCAGAAUGUUUUCAAGAAAUAAAUAAUUACUGAAAUUCCAAAGAAUCAUAGGAAAGAGUAAAGCUCAUGUUUUAUUGAAUCCUGAGGCUACUUAUGGAAAGAAAACUUUUUUUUCUAAUUUGUUUAAACUAAAAGCGAAACAAAAUAGUUUACUCAUUUAUCUUAUCUAUACUUGCUCUGGCAACCACCAAUCUGCUCCCUGUAUCUAUGAGCUAUGAGAUGAGUUGAUUUUUUUAUCCCAUAUGUAAAAGAGAUUAUAUAGUAUUUGUAUUUUUAUGUCUGACUUAUUUCACUUAGCAUAAUGUCUUCAAGGUCCAUCCUUGUCACUCACAAAUGGCAAGAUUUCUUUAUGUCUGAAUAAUAUUCCAAUGAAUAUAUAUACAGCACAUAUAUACCACAUCUUCUUUAUCCAGCCGUUUAUUGAUGGACACUUAGAUUGCUUCCAUAGCUUGGUUAUUGUAAAUAAUGCUGCAAUGAAUACAGGGGUGCAUAUAUAUCUUCAAAUGAGUAUUUUUGUUUUCUUUGGAUAAAUACCUAGAUGCGAAAUUGCUAGAUUGUAGGUUAUUUCUAUUUUUAAUUUUUGAGGAAACUCCAUACUGUUUUCCUCACUGGCUGCAUCAAUGUACAUUCUUACCAACAGUGUAAGAGGGCUCCCUUUCCUCACUAACAUUUACUGUUUCUUAUCUUUCUGAUAAUAGCGAUUCUGACAGGUGUUAGGUGAUAUCUCAUUAUGGUUUUAAUUUGCAUUUCCCUGAUGAUUAAUGAUGUAGAACAUCUUGUCAUUUACCUUUUGGCAAUAUGUACGUCUUCUUUAGAAAAACAUCUAUUCACACCUAACCAUUUUUAAUCAGAUUGUUUGUUUUGCUAUAGAGUUGUAUGAGUUCUUUAUUAUUCUUAUCAGAUAAAUGAUGUACAAAUAUUUUAUCCCAUUCAGUAAGUUCUCUUUCAUUUUGUUGAUGAUUUUCUUUGUUGUGUAGAAUACUUUAAUUUUCUGUUUAUUUGUAUUUCAUUUUGUUGCUUUUGCUUUUGGUGUCAGGCUCAAAGACUCAUCAUCAUGACUUAUGUCAAGGAGCUUAAUACCUGUGUUUUCUCCAGGGAGUUUUAUGGUUUCAGGUCUUAUGUUCAAGUCUUUAAUCCACAUUGAGUGAAUUUUUGUGUAUGCUGUAAGAUAGAGGUUCAGUUUCACUCUUUCACAUAUGACUGUCCAAUUUUCGCAACAUCAAUUAUUACUGAUGCUGUCCUUUACUCAUUGAAUAUUCUUAGCUCUUAUGCCAUAAGUUAGUUGACUAUAUAUACGUCUGUGUGAGAGUGCAUUUAAUUCUGGGCUCUUCAUUAUGUUCUACUGAUCUAUGCAUUUUUUUUAUAUGACAAUACCAUUCUGUUUUAAUUAGUAUAGAUUUGUAACAUAGGUUGAAAUCAGGUAGAGUAAUACCUCCAGCUUUACUAUUCUUUCUUAAGAUUGCUUUAGAUAUUUAGGGUCUUUUAUGGUUCUGUACAAAUUUUAGGCUUAUUUUUUUCUAUUUCUGUGAAAAAUGCAAUUGAAAUUUUGAUAGGGAUUGUGCUGAACCUGUGGAUUGCUCUGGGUAGUAUGGGCAUUUUGACAAUAUUAAUUCUUCCAAUCCAUGAGAACAGACUAUCUUUCAUUUUAUUUGUCUUCUUCAAUUUCUUUCAUUAAUAUAUAAUAGUUUUCAAUACACAGGUGUUUCACCUAAAAAUAAAUAUAUUCAUAGGAGUUUUAUUCUUUUUGAUGUAAUUUAAAUGGUAUUAUUUUAAAAAUUUCUCUUUCUCGUAAUUCAUUAAAAGUGGAUGGAAUUCCUGUCAUGGUGCAGUGGUUAACGAAUCCGAAUAGGAAGCAUGAGGUUGCGGGUUUGAUCCCUGGCCUUGCUCAGUGGGUUAAGGAUCCGGCGUUGCUGUGAGAUGUGGUGUAGGUUGCAGAUGUGGCUUGGAUCCCGUGUUGCUGUGGCUCUGGCGUAGGCCAGUGGCUACAGCUCCGUUUCAACCUCUAGCCUGGAAACCUCCAUAUGCCAUGGGAAGCAGCCCUAGAAAAG